rnacentral:RNase_P_RNA from 1 species
UCUUUUGAGAACAGAUAGUGCAACAGAAAAUAAACCGCCAAUUUGGUAAGGGUGAAAAGGUAAGGUAAGAGCUUACCGAUUAAAUAGUGAUAUUUAAUGCAUUGUAAACCUUAUAAAUUGAAAGAUCAAGUAAUUCGAUAGUUUUUAAACUAAUAGUUGCUCGCUAUAAUUCGAAUGGGUAGAUNGAUUGAACUUGGUAGCGAUAUCAAGUCUAGAUAAAUGAUAAGAAUCUGAUUAUAUCAGAUACAGAAUCCGGCUUAUAGACUUACAAUUUUU